AAAAAUUAGUUCCAAAGUUAAUGCGUCAAAACAUCGCAGUACUAAUUUACUCUGAUUAAUUAUAAUCGUUUGGGAAUGUAUCGAUUAGUUAGCUAUUUUUUUUUAGAAUAACUAACUGCUCAUUUAAACAAUCCAGUUGAAUGAUGAGACGUAAUAUUUUUGAAAUGCGGGAAUUUUGCACGAACGUACUAGAAUGAUGGAGGGAAAUUAUGCAGGAUGUGUUCAACGUGUUGUUGAGAAAUGCAGUAAUGACCUAUGCGACUACCUUCGCCAACUGAUCAUAUCAGGUUCAGGUUUCCCUAGAACCAUGUCGAUUGGUAAAGAAGCAGGACGUGCAAACAUCAUUUCGUGAGGACUCACACCUGUGGUCUCGUGGACCGAGGAUCUAUAUGCCAACAUUAGUAGUGGACUAGAAGACUCGGGUACAGCAAUUCUACUAGGUCUAGUGACCACAGAACAGUUUACAGACUUGCCAGAAUCUGAUGUUUGCUUACAAGGAAAAGACUGGUCUCAGCUUGAGGUCAUGGGACUUAAAAAUGACCUCCCCUGAAUCCUCAAACUGACUGUUUGCCAUUAUGUUAGCAAACGACACAAAUGUCAAUCGAGUAAAACACUCUUAUGUUUACGUAGUGUUGAUAAUAAAAAAAAACCCGAAAAACACCAGUAUGAUUGCAGGUGUUGAUACAAGUUUGCUAUUAAUAAAAACACUAAUAUAUCA